AAUUAUAGAUAGGAUAGCUGAAAAAGUCAACUAUUACAUUAUUACACACAAGGGCAUUUCCUUAUCAACCAUAUACUGACACUUCCCAUCGCGUGAACCCUUACCAGACUACACUUGUUUAAAGGAAGAAAUGAGCAAAGGAUCCACCAUGGAUCGGCAUGAAUGGAUGUUCCCUUUCUCAGUGGUCUAAGGAAACAAGACUGAAAGCAGGCUUGCAGAAAUAACAGCAGAUCAAAAUCUGGUGUGGCACGAUGACAAGUAAAGGUAAAAGCAAAGAAGUCAAGCACCGUCAUAAUCCGUCAAGUGCAGCACAACAAUGAAAAAUGCAGACUGUGUUCUUUAAAGCAAAAACACUGAUUUAUUUCUCGUCCAAUCUUCAGCGAAUUUGGUAUAGAUAUGUGUUCAACAAACCCUGUUGGCUUAAUAAGUGAAGAAGUUAUGUAUUUUAUGACAAUAAUAGUUUAGUCAAUAAGCGAAGCGAACAUUUGCAGCGCUGUUCUACAACAGUACAAAAAGACCAUGUCAGGACGUGUUACUGCCUGUAUCAGCACAAGAAGUGGCAUAAACAUUAUUGCUUCACUAUUAAUUUUGUUAAGUUUAUAACACACCUGAGCACAAAGUGCUCCGUGAUGGCUAUUGUGGUUUCGCUGUGUCCGUCAGCAAACAAUUGAAACGUUAAUACUAUAGUAAUCACAAUGUUAAUUUAAUUGUUCAUUAUGUUACCCUUAAGGUAGUUCUGCACAUUUGAAAAAACGGAAGUGGUGAUGUAAUGUCAUUUAUCCGGAAAACGUAGAAUAAAGCCUUGAUUCGGCGUACGGAAACGAAAAUCAUUUCAUAAACCAAUAGCAACCCGUGAGUAAAUUUAUUACAAUGGCACUGUCAAUUUCUUUCUAAAGUUAAAAUAUGAUAUUAAAACAUCUGAAAAGUUAAAUAAUUUAAAAACAUGUGUUUAUAUUGGCUUUAAAUGUGCGGUUCACUUAAAUCAUGGUCAUCACAAAAAUAAGCACACGGACUUAAAUAUUUUAUUUCAUCAAAUUAUAGACCAGACUAUAAGUUUAUUUACGACUGUGAGAAGUUUCAUUAAAAUCUAUAUUGUUGAAAAAAACAUGAAA